CUUCUUUUACGUUUCUCCCACAUCGAGCUCAGAGAGCUUCGUACAGGAGAAUAACAGGAGCAGCGAAGCAAUGGAGUCGGUCCCUUCGGGGACAUCCGAUAAAAUUGGAACGAUACAGAGAAGAUUAGCAUGGCCCCUGCGCAAGGAUGACACGCACAAAUCGAGAAAUGGUCCAAAUUUUUUCGCCGGCCGUCGGCGCUGGUGCUCCGGUCAGUCUGUAUUUUUUUUGCCGGCCGUCGGCGGCGCGUAAUCUAUUCGGAGAUUCAAUAAGUACAUAGUGAUUCUCUUGUAGUUGGUUACAAUCACAAUCAAUUUGGUUUAGAUGUUGAAUCGAGCACCGGUCCGAACAAAUAACUCAGCCUUCAUUGCUAUGAGUGCUGAUGAGUAAAUGAACAUUACAGAUCAGUAACACAAGCAAACUGGACAGCACCCAGUUUUGCAGCAACUUUCAAUCUCUACUAUCUUUACAACCAGUUCCUUGCUACAAUAUCACUAUCACAGGGUAGAAAUUCAGAGUUUACAAUAUAUAGCUUAGUCUUGGUUUUGUUCUUCCUCUUAUAUGUACCUCUUGAACAACCUGUUUCGCCAGCAUUGCAGGGGUUCUUGUUAUCUUUCGGAAAAUUCGUUGGUUCCUCUCCUGCCAAAUAAGAUAAGCACUUGCAGCCAGUGCCAUCCUAUAUACCUCAGCUCUUGUUUGCUUGCUUUUGCAUUGGGCAUUUACUCAAGUUAUUUCCUAUUCCCAUCCUCGAGCCCCUCCCUAUGGAUACUUUGCCAACAGAGUACCUUCUGCCACACCUGAGAUGAGAACAGACACCGAAAGAAUAUACAAUUAUGGCUCUCAUCUUCAGUUCCGCAUACGACACAGUGAACAUCUUCUGCACAGCCCCAUGUUGCUAAUCGAUCCCCUGUGAGCAGCCUGCUUUGUAAUGCUAAGUAUAAUAUGGAAAUCCGCUUAGGACAAGCUGUAUCAUUACAAGUCAGUUUCCUCCACUCCACCUUCUGGAUACAAUCACUGGAUUUUUACUAGCAGGAGUUGGCAAUGUUGAUUUGAGGAGGAAAACUAAAUAUAUGAUUGUCAAUUCAAGUAUAUUUUCAACUUUUUUGUUCUCUCUAUUGUUGAGAUUUCGUUGCUGAAAAAAUUAUGGAAGAAAGAAAAUUGAGGUUGCUUGAUUAGGGUUGUCAAGUCCUUGUGAGAUAUAUCAGUGAAGCAGAUUGGAGAUGCUUUUAUAGAAUUCACCACAAGAGAGGACAUUGCUAUACCGUUAAUCAGCCAAUAUAUCAAGAGGCUAAUACCGAGGAGAAAGAGGACGAUGCUAUAUUAUUGACCUAUUUUAAAACAAGAACUCAUCGUCUUGCUGAUGGUGUAAAUAAUCCCACUGAAACUGAAGAAAUUUGUGCCAUAUGUCAAGCAGGAUUUGAGCAUGAAGAGUCCAUUGGGACACUUGGGUGUAGACACGAAUAUCAUACAAGUUGCAUCAAACAAUGGUUGUCGAGGAAAAAAAAUUGUCCCAUGUGUCGAGCUUCUGUUUUGCCCUAAAAUACAUAAGCAUAUAGA